rnacentral:rRNA from 1 species
GUGGACGCCAGUCUGCGUGGAGCCGACCUUGAAAUACCACCCUUUAAUGUUUGAUGUUCUAACGUGGACCCGUAAUCCGGGUUGCGGACAGUGUCUGGUGGGUAGUUUGACUGGGGCGGUCUCCUCCUAAAGAGUAACGGAGGAGCACGAAGGUUGGCUAAUCCUGGUCGGACAUCAGGAGGUUAGUGCAAUGGCAUAAGCCAGCUUGACUGCGAGCGUGACGGCGCGAGCAGGUGCGAAAGCAGGUCAUAGUGAUCCGGUGGUUCUGAAUGGAAGGGCCAUCGCUCAACGGAUAAAAGGUACUCCGGGGAUAACAGGCUGAUACCGCCCAAGAGUUCAUAUCGACGGCGGUGUUUGGCACCUCGAUGUCGGCUCAUCACAUCCUGGGGCUGAAGUAGGUCCCAAGGGUAUGGCUGUUCGCCAUUUAAAGUGGUACGCGAGCUGGGUUUAGAACGUCGUGAGACAGUUCGGUCCCUAUCUGCCGUGGGCGCUGGAGAACUGAGGGGGGCUGCUCCUAGUACGAGAGGACCGGAGUGGACGCAUCACUGGUGUUCGGGUUGUCAUGCCAAUGGCACUGCCCGGUAGCUAAAUGCGGAAGAGAUAAGUGCUGAAAGCAUCUAAGCACGAAACUUGCCCCGAGA